rnacentral:rRNA from 1 species
GGAUUAGAUACCCUGGUAGUCCACGCCGUAAACGAUGAGAACUAGAUGUCGGGAGAAUCUGUCUUUCGGUGUCGCAGCUAACGCGUUAAGUUCUCCGCCUGGGGAGUACGCCGGCAACGGUAAAACUCAAAGGAAUUGACGGGGACCCGCACAAGCGGUGGAGCAUGUGGUUUAAUUCGAUGCAACGCGAAGAACCUUACCUGCCCUUGACAUUGACAGAAUCCUGUAGAGAUACGGGAGUGCUUCGGCCUGGAAAACAGGUGCUGCAUGGCUGUCGUCAGCUCGUGCCG